rnacentral:rRNA from 1 species
GAUGAACGCUGGCGGCGUGCCUAAUACAUGCAAGUCGAACGAAAAGGCGAGGCGUUUGUGCCGUGCUCGUGAGGGGAGCGGGGGUGUAAAACAGGAGUAAACCGUCCUUGAAAGACGGGUAAAAUUUGGGAAAACGGGCGCAAAACCGGGAUAAGAUCUUGAUCCAAGGGGUGGAUUGGAAAAAGCCGGUUUUGGGGGAACUACUCGAGGGUUCCCCGCCGCUUUGGCUGGUUGUUACGGUAACGGCUUACCAAGGCAAGGAGGCGUGGCCGACCUGCGGGGGGGAUAGGCCACAUUGGAAGUGAGACACGGUCCAGACUCCUACGGGAGGCCGCAGUAGGGAAUCUUCCGCAAUGGGCGAAAGCCUGACGGAGCAACGCCGCGUGAGUGAUGAAGGUCUUCGGAUCGUAAAACUCUGUUAUGAGGGAAGAACAAAUGUGUAAGUAACUGUGCACGUCUUGACGGUACCUAAUCAGAAAGCCACGGCUAACUACGUG